rnacentral:rRNA from 1 species
GAGUUUGAUCCUGGCUCAGAACGACCGCUUGCGGCGCGCCUAAUACAUGCAAGUCGAACGAGAAUGUGUAGCAAUACACAUGUACAGUGGCGAACGGGUGAGGACUACAUGGGUAACCUACCCUCGAGUGGGGAAUAACCAGCCGAAAGGUUGGCUAAUACCGCGUACGCUUCCGGGACUGCGGUUCCGGAAGGAAAGCGAUACCGUGGGUAUCGCGCUCUUGGAUGGGCUCAUGCCCUAUCAGCUUGUUGGUGAGGUAACGGCUCACCAAGGCAUCGACGGGUAGCUGAUCUGAGAGGAUGAUCAGCCACACUGGCACUGCGACACGGGCCAGACUCCUACGGGAGGCAGCAGUAAGGAAUAUUGCGCAAUGGGCGAAAGCCUGACGCAGCGACGCCGCGUGGGGGAUGAAGGUCUUCGGAUUGUAAACCCCUUUCGGGAGGGAAGAUGGGAUGGGGUAACCCAUUCGGACGGUACCUCCAGAAGCAGCCACGGCUAACUUCGUGCCAGCAGCCGCGGUAAUACGAAGGUGGCAAGCGUUGUUCGGAUUUACUGGGCGUACAGGGAGCGUAGGCGGUUGGAUAAGCCCUCCGUGAAAUCUCCAGGCUUAACCUGGAAAGUGCAGAGGGGACUGUUCAGCUAGAGGAUGGGAGAGGAGCGCGGAAUUCCCGGUGUAGCGGUGAAAUGCGUAGAGAUCGGGAGGAAGGCCGGUGGCGAAGGCGGCGCUCUGGAACAUUUCUGACGCUGAGGCUCGAAAGCGUGGGGAGCAAACAGGAUUAGAUACCCUGGUAGUCCACGCC